rnacentral:rRNA from 1 species
UGGGGAAUUUUGGACAAUGGGCGAAAGCCUGAUCCAGCAAUGCCGCGUGUGUGAAGAAGGCCUUCGGGUUGUAAAGCACUUUUGUCCGGAAAGAAAUCCUUGGCUCUAAUACAGUCGGGGGAUGACGGUACCGGAAGAAUAAGCACCGGCUAACUACGUGCCAGCAGCCGCGGUAAUACGUAGGGUGCAAGCGUUAAUCGGAAUUACUGGGCGUAAAGCGUGCGCAGGCGGUUUGCUAAGACCGAUGUGAAAUCCCCGGGCUCAACCUGGGAACUGCAUUGGUGACUGGCAGGCUAGAGUAUGGCAGAGGGGGGUAGAAUUCCACGUGUAGCAGUGAAAUGCGUAGAGAUGUGGAGGAAUACCGAUGGCGAAGGCAGCCCCCUGGGCCAAUACUGACGCUCAUGCACGAAAGCGUGGGGGAGCAAAACAGGAUUAGAUACCCUGGUAGUCCACGCCCUAAAACGAUGUCAACUAGUUGUUGGGGAUUCAUUUCCUUAGUAACGUAGCUAACGCGUGAAGUUGACCGCCUGGGGAGU